CAAGUCGAACGAUGAAGCCCUUCGGGGUGGAUUAGUGGCGAACGGGUGAGUAACACGUGGGCAAUCUGCCCUGCACUCUGGGACAAGCCCUGGAAACGGGGUCUAAUACCGGAUACGAGCCUCCCGGGCAUCUGGGAGGUUGGAAAGCUCCGGCGGUGCAGGAUGAGCCCGCGGCCUAUCAGCUUGUUGGUGAGGUAACGGCUCACCAAGGCGACGACGGGUAGCCGGCCUGAGAGGGCGACCGGCCACACUGGGACUGAGACACGGCCCAGACUCCUACGGGAGGCAGCAGUGGGGAAUAUUGCACAAUGGGCGAAAGCCUGAUGCAGCGACGCCGCGUGAGGGAUGACGGCCUUCGGGUUGUAAACCUCUUUCAGCAGGGAAGAAGCGAAAGUGACGGUACCUGCAGAAGAAGCGCCGGCUAACUACGUGCCAGCAGCCGCGGUAAUUCA
rnacentral:rRNA from 1 species